ACUUUCAGUUGUGAGGAAGGGUGUGUAGUUAAUAGCUGNGCAUCUUGACGUUAGCAACAGAAGAAGCACCGGCUAACUCCGUGCCAACAGCCGCGGUAAUACGGAGGGUGCGAGCGUUAAUCAGGAAUUACUGGGCGUAAAGCGCAUGCAGGUGGUUCAUUAAGUCAGAUGUGAAAGCCCGGGGCUCAACCUCGGAACUGCAUUUGAAACUGGUGAACUAGAGUNCAUGUAGAGGGGGGUAGAAUUUCAGGUGUAGCGGUGAAAGGGGUUUUUAUCUGAAGGAAUACCAGUGGCGAAGGCGGCCCCCUGGACAGAUACUGACACUCAGA
rnacentral:rRNA from 1 species